GAUGAACGCUGGUGGCGUGCCUAAUACAUGCAAGUCGAGCGAACAGACGAGGAGCUUGCUCCUCUGACGUUAGCGGCGGACGGGUGAGUAACACGUGGAUAACCUACCUAUAAGACUGGGAUAACUUCGGGAAACCGGAGCUAAUACCGGAUAAUAUAUUGAACCGCAUGGUUCAAUAGUGAAAGACGGUUUUGCUGUCACUUAUAGAUGGAUCCGCGCCGCAUUAGCUAGUUGGUAAGGUAACGGCUUACCAAGGCAACGAUGCGUAGCCGACCUGAGAGGGUGAUCGGCCACACUGGAACUGAGACACGGUCCAGACUCCUACGGGAGGCAGCAGUAGGGAAUCUUCCGCAAUGGGCGAAAGCUUGACGGGGCAACGCCGCGUGAGUGAUGAAGGUCUUCGGAUCGUAAAACUCUGUUAUUAGGGAAGAACAAAUGUGUAAGUAACUAUGCACGUCUUGACGGUACCUAAUCAGAAAGCCACGGCUAACUACGUG
rnacentral:rRNA from 1 species